rnacentral:rRNA from 1 species
AUUGAACGCUGGUGGCAGGCCUAACACAUGCAAGUCGAACGAGUGGCGGACGGGUGAGUAAUGUCUGGGAAACUUCCUGCUGGCGGGGGAUAACUACUGGAAACGGUAGCUCAUACCGCAUACCAUCUGAUGUGCCCAGCUGGGAUUGGCUAGGAGGUGGGGUAACGGCUCACCUAGGCGACGAUCCCUCGCUGGUCUGAGAGGAUGACCGGCCAACCUGGAACUGGGACACGGUCCGGAGUCCUACGGGAGGAAGCAGUGGGGAAUAUUGCAGAAGGGGAGAAAGCCUGAUGCAGCCAGGCCGGGUGUAUGAAGAAGGCCGUCGGGUUGUAAAGUACUUUCAGCGGGGAGGCGUUACCCGCAGAAGAAGCACCGGCUAACUCCGUGCCAACAGCCGCGGUAAUAC